GAAUGAAUAAAUAAAAUUAAAGCUUUAUUAUAUAUAUUAAAAAAAUUUAAUUUUAAAGUGCAGAAGCUUUAAUUUUACUAUAAGACAAGAAGACCCUAAUGAUUUUUAUUUUUAGUUGUUAUAAUUUUAUAUAAUUUAUAAAUAUAUACUUAUGAAAAAUUUUACUGGGGCGGUAAAUAAAUAUUUUAAUAAACAUUAAUUAGUAUAUGAUUAAUAUCUUUAUGAUGAUCCUUAAUUAUGAUUACAAGUAUAAAAUACCAUAGGGAUAACAGGCUAAUUAUUUUAGAUAGUUAAUAUUGAAAAAAUAGA
rnacentral:rRNA from 1 species